rnacentral:rRNA from 1 species
GUCGCUGGCUAUUGCCGUGUAAAGCCCCUUCGACGAGUCGAGUUGUUUGGGAAUGCAGCUCUAAAUGGGAGGUACAUUUCUUCUAAAGCUAAAUAUUGGCCAGAGACCGAUAGCGCACAAGUAGAGUGAUCGAAAGAUGAAAAGCACUUUGGAAAGAGAGUCAAACAGCACGUGAAAUUGUUGAAAGGGAAGCGCUUGCAGCCAGACUUGCUUACAGUUGCUCAUCCGGGUUUUUACCCGGUGCACUCUUCUGUAGGCAGGCCAGCAUCAGUUUGGGCGGUAGGAUAAAGGUCUCUGUCACGUACCUCCUCUCGGGGAGGCCUUAUAGGGGAGACGACAUACUACCAGCCUGGACUGAGGUCCGCGCAUCUGCUAGGAUGCUGGCGUAAUGGCUGUAAGCGGCCCGUCUUGAAACACGGACCAAGGAGUCUAACAUCUAUGCGAGUGUUUGGGUGUCAAGCCCGAGCGCGUAAUGAAAGUGAACGGAGGUGGGAACCCGCAAGGGUGCACCAUCGACCGAUCCUGAUGUCUUCGGAAGGAUUUGAGUAAGAGCAUGGCUGUUGGGACCCGAAAGAUGGUGAACUAUGCUUGAAUAGGGUGAAGCCAGAGGAAACUCUGGUGGAGGCUCGCAGCGGUUCUGACGUGCAAAUCGAUCGUCAAAUUUGGGCAUAGGGGCGAAAGACUAAUCGAACUAUCUAGUAGCUGGUUCCUGCCGAAGUUUCCCUCAGGAUAGCAGUAACGUAUUCAGUUUUAUGAGGUAAAGCGAAUGAUUAGAGGCCUGGGGGUUGAAACAACCUUCACCUAUUCUCAAACUUUAAAUAUGUAAGAAGUCCUUGUUACUUA